ACCGCCGUCAAGGGUCACCGCGUCGGCCUUGUUUCCCUGAGAAGAAAGGAGGCCAGCCUGGCUUCAAGAGGAAACUCACCCAAACCCGGCUUCAAGAGGCUGACCACAUUCCUUGGGUCUCUAGCAAGACAGAAAAACAAAAAAGGAGAAAAUUUGCCAAUAUCAACAAUGAAACAAGAGCUAUCACUACAGAUCCUGAAGACAACAGCAGGAUAAUUCAAAGACUACUAAAACAUCUUUACACACAUAAAGUUGACAACUUAUAUGAAAAAGACCAAUUCCUCCAAAGGAACGAGCCACUGUAACUUACCCAAUAGGAAAUAGAUCAUUUGAAUAGCUCUAUAACUAUUUAAUAAUUGAAUUUAUAGUUUUCAAACUCCCCAAAAAUAAAUCUCAGACUCAAGACAGGGUCACUGUUGAAUUCUACCUAAGGUUUAAAAAAUUAUCACCAAUUCUACAUAAGCUCUUCCAAAAACUAUGAGGAAAUGCUCUCUAACUCAUAUGAGGCCUGUUUGGUAGAGAGAGAGAGGGGAAACCCCCUAUGAGAUGUCAAUCACUUUCUUCUGCUCUCCUAUACACACACACACACACACACACACACACACACACACACACACACGCCACCUCUCUCUGCCCUACUGCCCUGCACCCUACCCUACCAGCUACCCUAUGAACCACAUGGCUCUUUUGAUCUGGCCACAGCCAAUUGACCAUUUGAGAUUAGUAACUCAAGCUGGCCAAGUAAUCUUUUUUAACUUAAAAAAAAAAAACAAAAAACUCUCAUGUAGAAAAAUGGAAAAACAUAAAUGUACAAUUGAGCGAAUUAUCCCAAAGAGAACGCUCGUGUAACUGCCAUCCAGGUCAAGAAAGAAAACAUUACCAACAUCCAGAAGCCCCCUUAUCCCUCCACCCAAUCUCACAGCCUCCCACUUCCCCCAAACCUGGCUGCUAUCCUACUAGCUACUAAACUACCAGUCUAUUUUUUUUGUCUAGUUUUGAAUUUUAUGUAAAUAGAAUCAAUCAUGCAAUAUAUGUCCUUUUGCAUCUGAUUUCUUUCAUUCAACAUUAUGUUUGUGAGAUCAUUCUUCUUUGUUAUUUUCUAAAUUUUAUUUCAUUUUAUAAUAACUGCUGGCAUUAGAAACACAAUCUGUUUUUGUGUAUUAUCGUUGUGUUUGGCAACUUGGUUAAAUUCACUUACAGAUUCUAAUUACUUGGAAAUGUCCACAAACGUAACAAUGGAAGCUUUAUUACUUCCUCUCCGAUCAUUUUGCUGCACUGAAAGGGACUUUCAGUACAAUGUUGAGUAGAUAUGAAGAUAAGAGUAUCCGGGUCUUGUUCCUGAGCUCAGAAGGAAAGCUUUCAGUGUUUCCCUCCUUAAAUGUGAUGUCUGCUUGCUGUAGGUGUUUUGCAGACUUAUAGAUUUUUGUAGAUUAGGAAAGUUUUAAACAUAAAUGGAUGUUGAAUUUCAACAUCUAUUGAAAUAAUCAUUUGGAUUUUUGUCUUUUGUGAUGAAUUGCACCAAUUUAUUAUAUUUCCAAAUGCCGAGCCAAACUUACAUUCCUCAUCCAGUUUGUAAGUGGUAAUAUUUGGCUUUUAAAAGUAAACUUUUAAUUGAAGUAUAUAACAUGCACACGCAUACAUAACGCAACAAAUGCACAAGUCGUAAAUGUAUGGUUUGAGGAAGUUUUAAAAUUUGAACACCUCCCUGUGAAACAGAUCUCAGUUCAAGGACUAGAACAUCACCAGCCCCUAGAAAUCCUCGACAUGCCCCUUUCCAAUCACUACCCCAAAGGGAAUCACUAUCCUGACGUCUAACAUAACAUAUUAAUUUCUACUGUGUUUGAAAUUUUUAUAAAUGGAAUUGUAUGGAC